GGGGUGAAGGUGACAGGGCACAGAGCUGUGCGAAGCCCCACACUGGCAUUCACCUCAGGCUGAUGACAGUGGCAGUGUGCAGGGGCACUGCAGGAGGCCGGGGAAGGCGAGGUCACAAUAGGCACAAUAGGGAGUCGUUGCCAGGCAACCUCUCUAGGCUUCUGUUGUGAUUCUGCUUUAGUUGGGUCUUGGGGAUCUCUCUGGAGAGUGGCUAUAAAUGCUAGCCUUUGUGCUGGGCAGCAAAGCACAUCAUCGGGAAUAACCCAGGCGCCUGGCAGGGAAACCGCUGCACUACGGAGAGGACGCUUCCAGAUACAGAGGACAAAUCAAGUGAAGCGACGGAACAGGUCACACCCAAAGCGGCACAGAGAUAAAACGUGAUGUGAGGACAUGGCCCAGCCCCACCAUCGUCUUCCAGGACUCCCUGGGUGGCACCACGCUGUGGGUGCUGCUCUCCUCUGUGUCCCAAAUGACUUUGUGCCUCACUUUGUCAGGUUUUGGCUGUGACUUGAAGCCUCACCAAGCUCCCUUUUCCUCUGUCUCCCAUUCUCCUCUCCAGGCCAGGGUGGCUUCCCCAGGCCUCCUCCCCAGGUCCUGCCUGUGCGGAGCCUUCCUGCCAAGAGCGAGGUGAUGUUGACUUGAGAUCCUAUGGGUGUUUUGUUUGUGGCUGGGCCUGGCCGACCCUCUCUCCAUGGCCUUAGAUUGCACUCUGGGUGGACAGGACAGUCGUCCUCAACACUGAGCCUCUUUGGAACAUACCCACUGAUGGUGGUUCACAAGCUACCCAUGCCCACAGGCUGACCCAGAUCUCCGUGAAAUUAAAAAAUACUGUGAAAGGAAAAA